GCCUGGGUGGCUCAGUGGGUUAAGCAUGUGACUUCAGCUCAGGUCAUGAUCUUGCAGUUCGUGGGUUCAAGCCCCACAUCAGGUU
rnacentral:tRNA from 1 species